rnacentral:lncRNA from 1 species
GGAGGGGUUUUCCAAAGCCUACUAACAUCUGAUGGUAGGGCGAUAUUGAACAUGGAGAGCAUACCAUGACAAAUGAUAUUUACCUGGCUAAGAAUCUAGGAGCUGCCCAUGAGAAUCAACUAAAUACCCCACCACCAUUCCCCACUGUAUAGAGAGGAAAAAAGAAAAGUACAAUUUUUGAUGUAGAACCAUAAGGAGCAUAAACCUCGGAUUACACAUAAGAGCUUCCCACAGCUCCGUCUGGGUGUAGCAAUAUGUUCCAGUGUGAUCAUAUACUGAUGCCUGGAUUCGUAAGAAUCAGUGAACCUGAGACAGAGCAUCUCUGCUCUUCUCAGUAAGAUGCAGGCCAGUGCAUGCACCACCCCCCAAGGGCUGUGAGCUGCCUGAAGACCCUUUGGGGAUGGACUCUGCUCUCACGCUGUGGUUCCUUGGGGUCUUUGUUGAGCCCAAGACCCUCCCAGAGUCAAAGCCAAGAACCAUACUCUCAUCUCCCUCCUCCUGCACUUCUGCUCCUCAAGGUCAUUGGGGCAAUGGAGUUCUUCAUCUCCAGGGAGGGCUGCUAGGCUCCAUGUCUGCCUCCAAGCAUUAAAUUAUUCUGCUCAGUCCUGCAAGGGCUUCAGAAUAAGAUGGGUUCUAGGUGCAGAUAAAAUGGAAACAGAAGCUUAAAAAGAAACCACCCAUUUUGCUCAGAUCUUUGAUGAAGAUUAAACUUCCUACUCACACUGUGACUGCACAGAUGAGCUCUGUGUGCUCAGAAAGUUUCAGGGACACUGGCCCAUCGGUGGCCAGGCCCAGAAGCUUCAGUGUCACCUUGGACACCUUCCUGGCACCGGGAGUCCAGCCCUCACUGUCUGCUUCACUUCCGGACUCCCACUAGGGCCCAUGCUUCCCUCUACUGCCCGUUCUCUAAAUUUUUCCCAAUUACGAAGUCUCCCCCACAGAGCUUUCAAACCCAUUUUCCCUUUUUGAGGUGUGUUUGUGGCCACAUCUGUGCUGCUUCCCUGACAUUCACUGAUGUGGACGGAGAGGGAGGGGUUCCCAUUCCAGGGCAGAGGACGCAGGGGCUAUGUACACAGGGUCCAUGUAGCAGGAGGGGCGGAGUCAGCUUGACUGAGGGAGUGGGGGGACUGGGAGCUUCAGGGGCUCAGCUGCAGGUGGGCACUGCUGAGAUGGGACAAUUGGGGAGCAGGGGUUCUGGUCAUUAAAGGGGAGCAACUCUGAGCCCUGGGUGGGAAAGGGGUGCAUAUAUCCCUGAGCAGAAAUGGGACAAGGAGCCUGCUCCAGGCCCAAACAGCACAUGUCAUCUUCCACAUAACAACCCUGGCAGAAUGGGGAACUGCCCCCUCACUGAACCUGGGCACAGCUCUGCACACAGUCAACUCUGGGGUGCUGGCCAUGCUCCUUAGUUCAGUUCAGCCACUCAGUCGUGUCCGACUCUUUGCAACCCCAUGAAU